UACGUAGGGGGCAAGCGUUGUCCGGAUUUAUUGGGCGUAAAGAGCGUGUAGGCGGCCAUGCAGGUCCGUUGUGAAAACUCGAGGCUCAACCUCGAGACGCCGGUGGAAACCGUGUGGCUAGAGUCCGGAAGAGGAGAGUGGAAUUCCUGGUGUAGGCGGUGAAAUGCGCCAGAUAUCAGGAAGAACACCCGUGGCGAAGGCGGCUCUCUGGGACGUGAC
rnacentral:rRNA from 1 species